rnacentral:rRNA from 1 species
AUUGCUGUGCAACGUAUUCUGAAUAUCCCUUUGGUACUAGGUAUGAUAAGUGAUUUUGUUUCUUGGCACUUCAUCAAGAACGGUUUUUUCUCCGUAAGGUCAACUUAUCAUGAAGAGUGGGAACACCAACAUGGACGAAAGUUGAGAAUGACAAACUCAGUUCAAUCCUUAAGUACUAGACCUGUUUGGAGUACCAUUUGGAAAUUAAAUGUACCAUCCAAGAUAAAAAUUCAUGUGUGGAAAGCCUUACUUGGAUCCAUUCCUUGCUUGGGUGUCUUAGCGAAUAGACAUAUGAUCACGAGCUCGCAUUGUCCUUUUUGCCGAUUGCGAGAGCAAGAUACGCAACGCAUGCUUUUCCUCUGUAGUAAAGCAAAGGAGGUUUGGAAGAGGCUAGGGAUGGAUAUGAUUAUUGAUAAAGCUUGUGAGUACAAUCGUGCUGGGGAGGCAAUAUUGGAAUACCUUCCACUUCUUCCAGACCAAGACUUGUGUAUUAUGGGUCAAAAUGUAUGUGAAAUGGUAGCUAUUUCAGCUUGGUACCUUUGGUGGGAAAGAUGAAAAUUAGUGCACAAGGAAUUAAUUCAGAAUGCAAAUCAGAUAUCAAUGAGGAUCAUAGCCCUCACAUCCAACUUUGUUAAUGCAUCAUUUCCAAAGGCGGCCAUGGAAAAGGAGGUCUGGUACUAUCCUCCUAGGUGCUUUGUGAAACUUAAUGUUGACGCCUCUUUUGAUCAUGAUAUAUGGAAGGGUACGAUGGGGGUCGUCUUGAGAGACGACUAA